CGGCUGCCCGUAUUUCGGUGCCUCCUCGAUUGCGCACAGCAAGUCUUUUUCUGUCCCUUGCUCUCGUUGUCGGUGUCCUCUGCGAAGCACCGGCUGCCUACACCAGUUGUCGUCUUCUAUUUUCCUUCCUCACUCCCCCUCCUCGUGUGAGUGCGGGAGUGUGUGUGUGUGUGUGUGCCUCCUGCCCGAUCGGGACUGCUGCGACUGUCUCGGUUCUCUCUCUGUCACCGAGUGCGCGUUUGCGCGCGCAGGCUUCUGUUGGCACGUGUGUUGCUGUGGUUGCCCUCCUCAGACCUUGGGAUGAUGUGUUGCUCCCUCAUUACUUCCCGUCUCUCUCCAAUCUUUCGUCUUUCACUGAUUUUUGCGUUUUGCAUAUCGUGACGUGCCGUGUGAGAGUCCCGUGCUCUUUUUGCUUCCAAACGUUCUCCUGCUACACCCGCUCCCCUUCCUCACCCUCCUGUACCACCACCGCACAACGGCAUUGCCGCAACACCUCUUCUCAGUCGCGCCUUCUUUCCAUAUAUCUGCACCGCAGACGUACAACAAACUCGCUGGCAUUAGCCCCCCUCCUUUGUGUGUGUUUGCUUCUUCUCUCUCUUCGUCGUUUAUUAAAUCUUCUUGGCGCUGGUGAUGGUGAGGGCUGACUCGUUGACUCCCCAAAAAAAAUUUUUUGUUUCGGCCGCUGUUGCGCUUGUUUUCUCCUCUGCUGUUCCCGUGCUUUGAAGCAGACAGCAGAGGCGGGGUCUUUCCGUCUAUUCUACGCUAUCGUGUCGCGGUGAAUCGAUAAGGGCGACGUCUGAUGACGAGCCAGUGGGUACAACUCGUCAAGAAGCAGCACCGUACGUACAUACAUUCGAAAAAAGAAAUCAAUCUAUCCCAGCAGCAGAGACGGGCUCGGGGGGGCGCCGCGUUCCCUCCCUAGGCCCUUACCGCACCCUCUCUCUCUUUCUCAGCCGUCCUCUCUCUCUCGCCAUCUGUAAACAUCUGGCUAGCUUCUUAUUCUCUACUUUCCUUUCGCGAGUGUGCGCAUGUGCCUGUGUGCGUGCAACGCCCUUUUGAUCGCCUGUCGUAUUUGCUCACGUCGCACAUUGUGCGCAGCCAGUGGUGACUUCUACUGGCGACUUAGGUCGGACGGGCCACACACAGGAGGGACAAUGCGCAGAGACGGUGGAGCGUUUUCGCGGACAUCGUCACCGCGGUCUGGCACCUCGCCCAUCAGCCCUGCCGACGACGAGGAUGAGUACAUGGGAAGUAGCACGUCCACCGCUGGGCCGCCACCCGAGUCCAACACCAUGACCGGUCGCUUCACUCGACCGCAGUGGUCGCUGGCAACUGGGCGACACUAUGCAAGCAGCGGGCACUCAGCCGCCAGCUCGUGCAGCACUCACACGCUGAAGGUGAACCAAACGGAGAGCUACCGGCCGGGUCCCGAUGACAGCGGCACAUACAGCGCGAACCUGCGUGACUCGCCUAGCCGCACGAUGAGCAACACCAGCGUUUCGGUCUCCCCCAUGGACAGCAGCAGCCCGCAGGAAUGGGGCCGUUCCUUCCGCCUUUUCAACUCCUGCCGCUUCCUCACCAGCGCCUCAGGUUCACGGCAGCGUGACGGCAGCAUUGGACAGCUGUAUCGCAGCACUUUUCUGCAUGGCCGUCAGGGCCGCGGCAGCAGCGUUGGGCCGGAGGCCGAAAGGCCACUCCUCGGCAGCUCCAUGAUCCACCAACCACAGAGCAGCUUCUUUGGCGCCUUUAGCGGGCAAGGUGGACGCUACUCCUUCUGGCCCCCUGAUGUGAACGCCAGCGGAGUGCUGACGGCCGCCUCGCCGUACGCCGCGUCCAACCCGUCCGCGCCUUUGUCAACAGCGAGCCCCCUAUUAGGCUCUUCUCGCUUCCUCGGGACGGGGAUCUCGCCUCGCGGGCUGGCGGACGGGCACGCUGUGCAUCGUGUCGUCGCGUCGUGCGCAAUGGGCUCGGUGGUGUGUACUGUCUCACCAGGUCAGAACGAACUGCCUUUGGCGAUGAAUGCCUUACGCACGCACCUUGCGCUGCGCGGCAAGACGAUCAUUCAAGGCGAUGCCGCGCACCCGCUGGAGAUUCGCAAGGGCCCCCUUAUCGGCGCCGGCGGCUUCGCGAAGGUCUUCGCGGGUGUGGACACGGUACGUGGAGAGCUUGUCGCCAUCAAAGAAAUCGACAUCUCCGGCGUAGACGACGUGAAGGCGCUCAACGCGAUCGAGGCGGAAUUCGCCCUCCUCAAGUCGCUUCAUCACCCCAACAUUGUCAGCUACUCCCUCUUCGAGCACAGCAAGUCGCAGAAAGUCUGCCGCAUUGCGAUGGAGCUGCUGGCUGGUGACUCCACUCUCCACCUGCUGCAGAAGUUUGGGCCACUGACGGAAGCGGUGCUGCGCAUCGUGGCGCGGAGCGUCCUGCGCGCCAUUCGCUUUAUCCACAAGGAGGGCAUUUUUCACCGAGACAUCAAACCAGCGAACAUCCUCGUCAGCCACCGCGGCGAGGUGAAGUUGUGCGACUUCGGCUGCAGCAAACGCGUGUCGGAGCUGAACAAAGCAGCCAGCUGCAUCAUUGGGACACCAGUGUACAUGGCCCCUGAGUUCAUCAAGGGUGAGGCUAAUCACAAGGCGGAUAUAUGGUCGAUGGCGUGCGCGCUUUUUGAGCUGAGCACCGGGCUGCUGCCUUGGUACCACUCCGGCGUCAAGGACAAUCUCCCUCUCAUGUUCUACCUCACGACAACGUCGGAGUCUCCCAUGGUGCUGCCCUCGCCAGAAGCCAAGAGCGAGUUCUCCGCGGAGUUCCUCAGCUUCAUGGAACUGUGCUUCACACGCGACGUGGCGAAUCGUCCAGAAGCUGACGAUUUGCUGAAGCAUCCGUGGAUCACGGGGUCGCGGCUCGCGCCGGUGCCAAACCUGCCCAGCGCUGUCUUGUCUCUCCACCAGGAAAGUUCCGCCGUGUUUCGCGCCUUUGGCUCACCCGGGAAGUCGUCCACGUUCUCCAGCCCGCGAGACUCGGCGGCGGACCGCGACGACAUGAGCUUCAACGGCAGCGACGGCUUGCAGAAGUCCGUCUCCACUACCCCAACUCUCAGCCCCGCGGAGGAGGAGAUGGCGUGCCAGCAGGAGUUGGAGACCGUGGCGGCGGCGACGGCGCUGGAGCUCUGCUCCCUGCUCGUGUGCUCACUGGAGAUCCCCCCUCGUACCGCGCAGGAGACUGUGACAGGGGAAGUAGGCUCGGGGACCGGCGACACGAGUCCCUCGCUCACGCGCACCUUCUCGAUCCACUCACCCGCUCUCAGUCAUCGUGGCGGCGGUGUCAGCGCAAGCGUGGCCGAAUUUCUAUCCCCUGUGUAUACGCCAGAGCAUUCCAUAGUGCACGAAAACUUCUACUACAGCCAGGUGCCACUUGGGGCGUCCGCAGGCAACUUUGUCUUACCGCCCGGACUGGACUUGGAUGGGGCACCGCCGCAGCAGCAGUACUUGCGCAUCAACGAGGAAGGCAACCUUGAUAUGGUUUACCUCCCCGGUGACGAGAUGGAGGACUCGGUUCACGGCAGGUCCACCUUCGGUGACAGCGUCUACGGCUCCUUCCACGCUGGGCGUAUUGUGUCCCCAGCGCGCAACAGCUCGUUCAGCAGAGGUACCCUCAGCCCGCGCGUUGCGGCGGGGCCGAACACCGUGGGCGUGGCCGACGGCCCUUUCUCCCCGCUUCUCGGCAUCAGUGGCGUCUUCUCUCGCAGAGAGUCGCCAUCGCGCGGGGGCCCGUCAGUUCCGUCGUCCCCGCAGGGCAUUCCCGCGCCGCCGCUGCUGUACCGGCCCGGCCCGUCGACAACGUUUGUAAGUCAGCCAUCCAGCCACACCGGCUCUAUGCAUACGUCGCACGUCUCGCCGACGUCCACAUCCAAGGCCGGCAGCAACGUCGACGCCGCGACGCCUCACACCCCGCGGUCUAACUCGCCCACUUCUACGCAGCGCAGCGAGAGCUUCCGCGGAUUGCCGGAGAAACUGAAGACUCACGCUGAUGGAAAACUUCACAUGUCCUUUUCUGUCAACACCGCCCCAGGAUGCGCCGUGAACGUGGAGCUGAACGUCGAUGUGGCUGAUGUGCAGUGCAAGGUGGUGGACAACCAGCCGAACUUUGUGGUGGCCUUCACGGAUGACGUGCGCAGCCAAAUCGCAAACAAGAUUAAGGAGGUUGCCGAGCACUCGUCGUCGGGCAAGCCUGCCCAGACUGCAGGCACUCAUGCCUCAUCCCUGAGCCCGUUGUGCGGGAUGGAAGCGCGGCGAUCGGUCUCUGCGGGCGGCGGCCACUUUUACAACUCGCCGUUGUUCGCUGCCGCCUCGAAGGCCACGCCGCGUCCGCUUUCACGGGUCUCCACCGGCAGCGCGCAGCGACUGGUGGCCGUCCCGCGCGAGGCGCUUGCCGGCUAUUCGUCCUACUCUGGGGAGGAGGGCUCCGACGUGGACUCCCACACGUCUUCGCCCGUGACGGCGGGAUGGAAUGAACGCGUGGGCAAGUAACAGCCGCCCCACGCGGUUUAUUCCACCGAGCAUAUGGGCUCCCCGGGGAAGGUCACGGUCCUUGGUAUGACGAUCAACCUGAGCCUACAUCUUUUGCGCGUCUUUUUGGUUCGUGUGUGCUUGAUAUUGGAUACAGGGAUACACGAUUCGGAGUGCCCUCGUUGGACCAUGAACAUUCGGUGGCGCCUAUAGUCGAGUUGUGAGGGCUCCAGCGACGAUUAAGUGCGCACCUGCUUCAUUUUUUCUGUUCUCAGCGGCUGUGUGCGCAUGGUAUGAAGGUUGGCGUGGCGACAUGGCUGCGCGUUGCUUUUUCCCCUCUCGCACCUGAGUAGUCAGACAUCAAACAUACAAGCAGCCGCACACGCACACAGAGACACGCGUAUAUGCAUAUGAUCUCCUCCUCUUUCCCUGCGUGCUAUUGUGUUUCACGGUUUCCUGGUUGCGCUUGAUUGUCGAGUAUGGACUCUAAUAGUCCCUAUUCAUGCCCCCCCCCCCCAUCACCACCUCGAUCCCCCAAGCGAAGAGAAUUGCCGUGAUUCGCUUCUUGUGCAUUGUCAGGCUUUGGAUGCGAUUGUGUUGCUGUGCGCCAGAACUGCUGCGUUUUCCUCCCUUUCACACUGUUAUGCGUGACGGACGCUACAAACACCCACCCCUGGAUAG
rnacentral:misc_RNA from 1 species